rnacentral:rRNA from 1 species
AAAUUGAAGAGUUUGAUCAUGGCUCAGAUUGAACGCUGGCGGCAGGCCUAACACAUGCAAGUCGAGCGGUAGCACAGAGAGCUUGCUCUCGGGUGACGAGCGGCGGACGGGUGAGUAAUGUCUGGGAAACUGCCUGAUGGAGGGGGAUAACUACUGGAAACGGUAGCUAAUACCGCAUAAUGUCGCAAGACCAAAGUGGGGGACCUUCGGGCCUCAUGCCAUCAGAUGUGCCCAGAUGGGAUUAGCUAGUAGGUGGGGUAACGGCUCACCUAGGCGACGAUCCCUAGCUGGUCUGAGAGGAUGACCAGCCACACUGGAACUGAGACACGGUCCAGACUCCUACGGGAGGCAGCAGUGGGGAAUAUUGCACAAUGGGCGCAAGCCUGAUGCAGCCAUGCCGCGUGUGUGAAGAAGGCCUUCGGGUUGUAAAGCACUUUCAGCGGGGAGGAAGGCGAUAAGGUUAAUAACCUUGUCGAUUGACGUUACCCGCAGAAGAAGCACCGGCUAACUCCGUGCCAGCAGCCGCGGUAAUACGGAGGGUGCAAGCGUUAAUCGGAAUUACUGGGCGUAAAGCGCACGCAGGCGGUCUGUCAAGUCGGAUGUGAAAUCCCCGGGCUCAACCUGGGAACUGCAUUCGAAACUGGCAGGCUAGAGUCUUGUAGAGGGGGUAGAAUUCCAGGUGUAGCGGUGAAAUGCGUAGAGAUCUGGAGGAAUACCGGUGGCGAAGGCGGCCCCCUGGACAAAGACUGACGCUCAGGUGCGAAAGCGUGGGGAGCAAACAGGAUUAGAUACCCUGGUAGUCCACGCCGUAAACGAUGUCGAUUUGGAGGUUGUGCCCUUGAGGCGUGGCUUCCGGAGCUAACGCGUUAAAUCGACCGCCUGGGGAGUACGGCCGCAAGGUUAAAACUCAAAUGAAUUGACGGGGGCCCGCACAAGCGGUGGAGCAUGUGGUUUAAUUCGAUGCAACGCGAAGAACCUUACCUGGUCUUGACAUCCACAGAACUUUCCAGAGAUGGAUUGGUGCCUUCGGGAACUGUGAGACAGGUGCUGCAUGGCUGUCGUCAGCUCGUGUUGUGAAAUGUUGGGUUAAGUCCCGCAACGAGCGCAACCCUUAUCCUUUGUUGCCAGCGGUUCGGCCGGGAACUCAAAGGAGACUGCCAGUGAUAAACUGGAGGAAGGUGGGGAUGACGUCAAGUCAUCAUGGCCCUUACGACCAGGGCUACACACGUGCUACAAUGGCAUAUACAAAGAGAAGCGACCUCGCGAGAGCAAGCGGACCUCAUAAAGUAUGUCGUAGUCCGGAUUGGAGUCUGCAACUCGACUCCAUGAAGUCGGAAUCGCUAGUAAUCGUAGAUCAGAAUGCUACGGUGAAUACGUUCCCGGGCCUUGUACACACCGCCCGUCACACCAUGGGAGUGGGUUGCAAAAGAAGUAGGUAGCUUAACCUUCGGGAGGGCGCUUACCACUUUGUGAUUCAUGACUGGGGUGAAGUCGUAACAAGGUAACCGUAGGGGAACCUGCGGUUGGAUCACCUCCUUA